rnacentral:rRNA from 1 species
GGGGAAAUUUGGGUCAUGGGUCGAGAGACUGAACCAGCCAAGUAGCGUGAAGGAUGAAGGUUCUAUGGAUUGUAAACUUCUUUUAUAAGGGAAUAAAACCGCCUACGUGUAGGUGCUUGUAUGUACCUUAUGAAUAAGCAUCGGCUAACUCCGUGCCAGCAGCCGCGGUAAUACGGAGGAUGCGAGCGUUAUCCGGAUUUAUUGGGUUUAAAGGGAGCGUAGACGGGAGAUUAAGUCAGUUGUGAAAGUUUGAGGCCCAACCUUAAAAUUGCAGUUGAUACUGGUUUCCUUGAGUGCGGUUGAGGUGUGUGGAAUUCGUGGUGUAGCGGUGAAAUGCUUAGAUAUCACGAAGAACUCCUAUUGCGAAGGCAGCACACUAAGCCGCUACUGACGUUGAGGCUCGAAAGUGUGGGUAUCAAACAGGAUUAGAUACCCUGGUAGUCCACACGGUAAACGAUGAAUACUCGCUGUUGGCGAUAUACGGUCAGCGGCCAAGCGAAAGCAUUAAGUAUUCCACCUGGGGAGUACGCCGGCAACGGUGAAACUCAAAGGAAUUGACGGGGGCCCGCACAAGCGGAGGAACAUGUGGUUUAAUUCGAUGAUACGCGAGGAACCUUACCCGGGCUUAAAUUGCACUGGACAGGCUCAGAGAUGGGCCCUUCUUCGGACCAGUGUGAAGGUGCUGCAUGGUUGUCGUCAGCUCGUGCUGUGAGGUGUCGGCUUAAGUGCCAUAACGAGCGCAACCCUUGCCUUUAGUUACUAACAGUUUAUGCUGAGGACUCUAAAGGGACUGCCAUCGUAAGAUGUGAGGAAGGUGGGGAUGACGUCAAAUCAGCACGGCCCUUACGUCCGGGGCUACC